AUUUUACAGAGUUGCCAUGUGUGCCUCUCAGUAUGUAACAUUGUGACAACUGGAAUUGGAAUUCCUGGGUAGAUAAAGAAGAUUCUGUUUACAUUAUUAUUACAAUAAUUGUUCAGUAUUGUUACCUUACUCUGAACUUACAAUGAUGUUACAUCAUGUUGACUUUUCCCUUCAUCAAUGGCAAAACUUGAUGUGCUUUUGAAGUUAACAAGUGAGAGAGACCUUGUUUUAACUAGGAGGAAUAUAAAGUGAUGCUUUCAUAUUUCCAAGAAAGAACUUCUUUGACAAGGAGCAGAAGACAAAAUGUUAAAGAAACAUGGGUAAAUUUCAAGUUACGUUGGAUGAAGUAGUGUACAUUCAUAGAUUCAUUUCACCCAUAUAGAUAACAAAGUAUCCCAUAUUCUUUUCAAUGGAGCAUUCUUUUUCUGCUUGCCAGUUACAUCUGUAAACAUGUAAAGUAUGUAAGCUCGCU